rnacentral:rRNA from 1 species
CCGGCGACCGGCGCACGGGUGAGUAACGCGUAUCCAACCUUCCGUACACCCAGGGAUAGCCUUUCGAAAGAAAGAUUAAUACCUGAUGGUAUGAUGAGAUUGCAUGAUAGCAUCAUUAAAGAUUUAUCGGUGUACGAUGGGGAUGCGUUCCAUUAGGUAGUAGGCGGGGUAACGGCCCACCUAGCCAACGAUGGAUAGGGGUUCUGAGAGGAAGGUCCCCCACAUUGGAACUGAGACACGGUCCAAACUCCUACGGGAGGCAGCAGUGAGGAAUAUUGGUCAAUGGACGAGAGUCUGAACCAGCCAAGUAGCGUGAAGGAUGAAGGUCCUACGGAUUGUAAACUUCUUUUAUAAGGGAAUAAACCCUCCCACGUGUGGGAGCUUGUAUGUACCUUAUGAAUAAGCAUCGGCUAACUCCGUGCCAGCAGCCGCGGUAAUACGGAGGAUGCGAGCGUUAUCCGGAUUUAUUGGGUUUAAAGGGAGCGCAGACGGGUCGUUAAGUCAGCUGUGAAAGUUUGGGGCUCAACCUUAAAAUUGCAGUUGAUACUGGCGUCCUUGAGUGCGGUUGAGGUGUGCGGAAUUCGUGGUGUAGCGGUGAAAUGCUUAGAUAUCACGAAGAACUCCGAUUGCGAAGGCAG